rnacentral:rRNA from 1 species
GACGAACGCUGGCGGCGUGCCUAAUACAUGCAAGUAGAACGCAGUUACGAACGGGUGAGUACCGCGUAGGUAACUGCCUCAUAGCGGGGGAUAACUAGUGGAAACGAUUGCUAAUACCUCAUAAUGCGGUGUGGACAUUCGUGGUAUUAGCUAGUUGGGGGGGUAAAGGCUCACCCAGGCGACGAUACAUAGCAGGACUGAGAGGGUGGUCGGGCAAACUGGGACUGAGACACGGCCCAGAAUGCUACGGGAGGGAGCAGUAGGGAAAUUUCGGGAAUUGGCCGAAAUCUGAACGAGCAAAGGCUGGGGAGUUAAGGAGGUUUUCGGAGCGUUAAGAUCUUGUGGUAGAGAAGCGGUAACUAACCAGAAAGCGACGGCUAACUACGUGCCAGCAGCCGCGGUAAUUC